AAAUUUCUCAAAUUGAAUGCAUGGUUGAAUUCAUGAAAAUCAAUAUUGGAAUAACAGUGCUUUCCCUGGUGUACCCUUAACAGAAAACCAAAAACUCAUGAUCCUUACCCUCUUACAAAUUAGCCCAUAAAUUGUAAAAUAAAUAUUCAAACUAAAAAUGAUUCAACCCAAACUUAACAAUGACUAAAUCAGUAAGCAAACCUUGCUCCUCUUUCAACACAAAAAGAUGUACAAUUUUUGAAAUCAAGUAAGUGGAAAUAGCUGUUAAAAUCUUUUUUGCAUGGUUGCAUUGUAACAUGUACCUAUUAUGGCAGGAAACUGCAUAACAGUGCAGAGAAUUUGGAAGAAGGCACUGUCGCUAUGGUGUUUAUCAAAUAUGUACUUCCAAUAGAUAAGACCACUAAUUUUUUAGAUGCCUGCCCAGAAAACCAAAAGCACAAACCUCAAGCUAAAACCUAUGUAUAGAAAUAAAAAAGAAACACAGAUACAACAUUCAACAGAAGUUUGAAAUAAGAGACAAAAUUAAAAUUAAUUUUUGACACAAUUACAUAUUUUAUACUUAUAUAUUUUCUCUUUUUGUAUAUAAGUUGUAUUCAUCACCAAUCAUAAUGAAAGCACAGAAUUGUUCUAACUUCAAAGACAAGAAAAAGAAUGCAAGUUUCGCAAUAUUUUUCAACUACCUGUUGAUGAGUGCCCCUAAGAUUUGUCUCCAGACAUGUCACUUGAACAAGCAGAAGCGUGCAUAACAAAAGGAUGAGCCUGCAGUGAAGCACUAGAGAUCCUUAUUGAUUCCUUGGAACAGCUCAGGAUUAGUCCAACUGCCAAAGCCUGAGUUUCAUGGAGUGAACCUUCACAAAAGCAAUUGGACCUACCAUCUGGAACUGAUCUCUGGUUUAACUUUCUCCUAGUAUACUUUAUCAAAUAUCUGUCAAAAUUUCCAUGGAAUCUUUCAUCUGCAAGUGUUCUCCUAGUAUACUUAAACAAAU
rnacentral:misc_RNA from 1 species